rnacentral:lncRNA from 1 species
UAUAGAUAAAACAAUUACAACUCUUAAAAAGGUAUAAUUUGUUAAUCCCCUUUCCUUGGAGUUAAUUUUUAGUGAUGUGUUUUUAAUAGAAUUGCAUAUUUGAGUAGUGAGUUUUUUUCAAUGGUGUUAUUUUUUUAACAAUUUAUAAUACUAUUUGUAAAAUUUAGUCAGAAUUUUUUUGAACAACUAUAAUAUCGUUUGAUUUCAAUUUGUAAAUACUUCGUUUGUUAAAUUUAAGCUUAAUUAUGUUAGUAAAUCUUUAUACCUUAUGUCCAAAUAUGUAUACAAUAUAGUAUAUGAUACAUAUACAGUACUAUAUAUUUAUAGUUCUUAUAAUGUUACUGGGCAUUUUCAAUGUAUGCUAUUUUGUGUGUAGGGAGUGACAAGUGCAUUCUUCACAAAGGCAAAAUAGAGAACAGAUUAUACUUCAUAUGAAAAGAAGAGGUUAGUUUGAUUGUCAUUGCUUUUUUCAUAUGGUUAACUUCUAAGUUACUUGGCUUACGUCUAAUUUAAUUGUUUGCUUGCCCAAGUUAAAGUCAUUUGUUUUAUUAAUGUUGGUGAACAAAAUCAACCUGAGUUAAUGUUAAAACAAUAUCAAAAUUUCCAUUAGUCUUGAUUGUCUUAAUCCUUUGCUUUUCCAUUUUUAACUGUGGAUAAAAAAGGGUUGAUCACGUUAGAGGGGAAUUUCAAGUUCAAUUACUACUAUGACAAAAUGAUUAAUAAGGUUGCUUACCUUGGAGUGAGUUGAAUCCAUUUUUGUUAAAUUUAUUGAUUAUCCAGUGGUGUACUUUGUGACAUACUGUGAUAUGAUUUGAGCUAUUUUAUUAAUUUUAAUUUUUCAUUAUCAUAGUGGGAACUUGGAUCAGUCUGGUUGUGUCUAAUUGUUGCACUGUUCUCCGAGAACACAAGGUUGGUCUCCCUCUUUGUUGCAAGAAAUUGGGGGAUGAAUUUGGUUUCAGGGGAAUGGUAUCCUUUUUCAUUCUUAUACUGCAUAGAAAAAAAAACAAUGCAUUGGGUGCAAGUAUGUGUUUUUUUAUUAUUUAUUUUUGUAGUGUGAAAGUCAAUUGUGUUUUUGUUGCUGCAGUCCGGUUGUACUUACUCUUGGUCUACUGUCGGCAUUGUUCUCCUUUAUUGGGAGACUGAUUUACUCUUUAAAAUUGGUUACAUUCUCUUAUAGUUGCCCCUUUUGUUGGUUCUGAAAAAACAAAGUGACAUGUGGAUUUCUGUCUUUCUAUAUCAUGCUUAUGUUGAAAUGUUAUACCUGCCAAAACCAUGUGUUGAAAUGUUGGAUUGGUAAACGUUUUUUGUUCUGUUUUUAG